UCCGAGUUGUCCUCGGCAGUCUCUCUAGAGUGCCCAACUGAAUGAUGGCAACUAAAGACAAGGGUUGCGCUCGUUGCGGGACUUAACCCAACAUCUCACGACACGAGCUGACGACAACCAUGCACCACCUGUCUCCUCUGUCCGAAGAAGGUCCCGGUUAAGGGACUGUCAGAGGGAUGUCAAGCCCUGGUAAGGUUCUUCGCGUUGCUUCGAAUUAAACCACAUGCUCCGCUGCUUGUGCGGGUCCCCGUCAAUUCCUUUGAGUUUCACACUUGCGUGCGUACUCCCCAGGCGGAGCACUUAAUGCGUUAACUGCGGCACCGAAGUCUUGCGACCCCGACACCUAGUGCUCAUCGUUUACGGCGUGGACUAC
rnacentral:misc_RNA from 1 species